rnacentral:rRNA from 1 species
ACGUAGGGACCGAGCGUUGUCCGGAAUCAUUGGGCGUAAAGAGCGUGUAGGCGGCCUUUCAAGUCCUGCGUGAAAUCCUGCGGCUCAACCGCAGACGGUCGUGGGAAACUGGAAGGCUAGAGUGCGGGAGAGGAGAGUGGAAUUCCCGGUGUAGCGGUGAAAUGCGCAGAUAUCGGGAAGAACACCCGUGGCGAAGGCGGUCUGCUGGGCCGUUGCUGACGCUGAGGCGCGACAGCGUGGGGAGCAAACAGGA